UCACAGCAAUUCAACAACAAAAACUGAAAAUCCACUUGAACUGAUCUCGAAUUAAACAAAUAGGUCAAAAGUGUGUGCAUACCUUCCAUAGCUCUGAAUUAGGUUUUGUUCGCUAAGCAAUCUCAAUCCAUCUUGCGUUAUAUACGGUGAAAUUAAACGUUGUAAAGUUCUAAAUUAAGAAAAAUCCAAGAGAUUUGUGACGAAGAUUUUGUAAUUGAAAUCAUAUAAACUCACCUUGAUAAGAUUUUGGCAGCGCCAUUUCAGACAGAGGAUAACUUUUUGGAUUAGGUUUUGUGAGGAAAAUAAGGAAUCGUACCUGCUAGUGAUGUAUACCUGAAUAGAUUAACCUGAUGGAACAUUGGAUUUUA
rnacentral:lncRNA from 1 species